GAGCCGAAGGCAGACACCUAACCGACUGAGCCCCCAGGCACCGCUCCACAUGUGAAUUUCUUAAGUCCCAACGCCUCCAUCUGAUGUAGCUCUGGCAGUCCUUGUUUCCACCUGUGAGGUCCCAGAGGCAGAGAAGGGAGAAACUUGUUGAAGACCCCAUGGCCGGAUCAUCCCUGGAAUGGGUCCCAGGAUGUUCCAGUUGCUUCUGCUGGGCACAUUCACAGUGCUCUUCAUGGAUGAAGGAAACCGAGUCCUGACAUCGAGAUGUAUGGUGUAGUUGGUUUGCAGUUUUUGGAUAAAUAAUGCCGCAAUGAGAGGGGAUACUCCUGAUUUUUUCAAACAUUGUCUCUCUACCCUCCCUGAAAUAUUCCACUCUCCUCACUCACUGCUCUAGUGUCUUUUUUCUGUCCCCAGCCUUGGGCAAAGGAGGGAGGAGGCUUGAAUCCCUGGGGUCAUAGCUGUCACCCACUCAAGGGAGUGAGGACCCCAGGCAGGAGCUGGGAAGGGUAUCAGCUUCCUUCUUGCGAGGUCUACACUUUGCCAGUGUAACUGAUAGUGGGAAGCUUCUGAAGCUGAAUUACUUAACCUAGAGCUCUGCUUUAAAAUUUCCUCUUUUUAUUUAGUGGUUCGAUUUUGCUAUCAAUGUGCCCACUUUGAUGGACUAUCAGAUGCCUGCACUGGCUUGAAACAAGUGGCUGGAAAGUCAAUCUAACAUUUGACAAAAGGAGUUGUACCAUAGAUCACUACUACUACAAUGAUCGAAUUAC